GUUGUUGUUUUACAACAACACUUCAGACAGCAAGGACAAUGAGAACCUAGACAAGGAUCCGACAAGGAAACACAGACACAGUCAUGAGGUAAUGGAAGGUUUGCAAAUGUGCUGUGACACGCCGGGUGUGAUUACUGCGCCGCCAUGAACUUCCUGAAAACUACGCUUCCUCCUCUAUCCUGCCCUCCACACACAAGUCAAAUGACUGCUGUCUCUAAAUGGCAUUUAGAUUCAUAAAGAUCCAGGAGGAAAACAGAUACUGCAGGAUGACAGUAAGAUGGAACUCGUGCAUGGACAGAGAGAACAUACAAGCUUCACAGGACGACUCAGUUGGGCAUUACAGGCCUUAACCUUAUUGCUGGAAGGUAACUGUGCAAACAGCAGCACCACUGUGCCGCCCCCAAACUCCAUCUGAUGCUGAUAAUCACUUUCAGUCUGAGAUCAAUCGAUUUCAACAGGCUGUCAAGCUUUCUUUUUUUUCCAUUUCUCUGAGGAAAUGUUUCAUUUUGCAGCUUGGCAUAUUUCCCAGCUUUGCAACACCUGACCUUUUUACCAGAGAUUGAAGCAACAACCUGCAGAGACAGCUUUCUGUUUGUCCACAAAUGGCAACCUCAUCUAAUAAAAAAGACAACUCUCU